rnacentral:lncRNA from 10 species
GUAAAUCAUAAGUCAAUACAUGGAAGUUGUAAGUUGGUUUAGCCUAAGGAGGCAGAAUACCUUGAAGUAGGGUGAUUCACAAGUCAUAGGUGGAUUCAGAGUUUCUGAUUGAUUGGCAGUUGGUUGAAAGAGUUAAGCUUUGCCUAAAGACUUGAAGUAAAAGCUUGAGUUAAGGUAAGGGGGAGGUUAUAGUAGUCAUAGCCGAAUCACCUAGAUAGAUAAAGUUUCUAUGGACUGAGCUGGGAAUACUUUGGAAGGAGCAGGUCUGGGGUCAGAACAGAGGACAGCAAAGGGCAGGAGUUAGUCUUGGGCAUGGUAAAGUUGAGAUGCUUAUUGUGCUCUUCGGUUUUGCUUUGAGUUUGUUCAGGAAAAUAAAUUUUAUAAAUUAAAACUCCAUUGGAUAUAGAAAUUAGGAUUCAUACCAAUGUUGG